rnacentral:rRNA from 1 species
GACGAACGCUGGCGGCGUGCUUAACACAUGCAAGUCGAACGGAAAGGCCCUGCUUUUGUGGGGUGCUCGAGUGGCGAACGGGUGAGUAACACGUGAGUAACCUGCCCUUGACUUUGGGAUAACUUCAGGAGACUGGGGCUAAUACCGGAUAGGAGCUCCUGCUGCAUGGUGGGGGUUGGAAAGUUUCGGCGGUUGGGGAUGGACUCGCGGCUUAUCAGCUUGUUGGUGGGGUAGUGUCUUACCAAGGCUUUGACGGGUAGCCGGCCUGAGAGGGUGACCGGCCACAUUGGGACUGAGAUACGGCCCAGACUCCUACGGGAGGCAGCAGUGGGGAAUAUUGCACAAUGGGCGGAAGCCUGAUGCAGCAACGCCGCGUGCGGUAUGACGGCCUUCGGGUUGUAAACCGCUUUCGCCUGUGACGAAGCGUGAGUGACGGUAAUGGGUAAAGAAGCACCGGCUAACUACGUG